rnacentral:rRNA from 1 species
AUUGAACGCUGGCGGCAGGCCUAACACAUGCAAGUCGGACGGUAGCACAGAGGAGCUUGCUCUUCGGGUGACGAGUGGCGGACGGGUGAGUAAUGUCUGGGGAUCUGCCCGAUAGAGGGGGAUAACCACUGGAAACGGUGGCUAAUACCGCAUAACGUCGCAAGACCAAAGAGGGGGACCUUCGGGCCUCUCACUAUCGGAUGAACCCAGAUGGGAUUAGCUAGUAGGCGGGGUAACGGCCCACCUAGGCGACGAUCCCUAGCUGGUCCGUGGGGAGGACCAGCCACACUGGAACUGAGACACGGUCCAGACUCCUACGGGAGGCAGCAGUGGGGAAUAUUGCACAAUGGGCGCAAGCCUGAUGCAGCCAUGCCGCGGGUAUGAAGAAGGCCUUCGGGUGGUAAAGUACUUUCAGCGGGGAGGAAGGCGAUGUGGUUAAUAACCGCGUCGAUUGACGUUACCCGCAGAAGAAGCACCGGCUAACUCCGUGCCAGCAGCCGCCGUAA